rnacentral:rRNA from 1 species
AUUGAACGCUGGCGGCAUGCUUUACACAUGCAAGUCGAACGGUAACAGGUUAAGCUGACGAGUGGCGAACGGGUGAGUAAUGCAUCGGAACGUGCCCGAUCGUGGGGGAUAACGCAGCGAAAGCUGCGCUAAUACCGCAUACGAUCUGAGGAUGAAAGCGGGGGACCGUAAGGCCUCGCGCGAUCGGAGCGGCCGAUGUCAGAUUAGGUAGUUGGUGGGGUAAAGGCUCACCAAGCCAACGAUCUGUAGCUGGUCUGAGAGGACGACCAGCCACACUGGGACUGAGAAACGGCCCAGACUCCUACGGGAGGCAGCAGGGGGGAAUUUUGGACAAUGGGCGAAAGCCUGAUCCAGCAAUGCCGCGUGCAGGAAGAAGGCCUUCGGGUUGUAAACUGCUUUUGUACGGAGCGAAAAGGCUCUGUCUAAUACAGGGGGCUCAUGACGGUACCGGAAGAAUAAGCACCGGCUAGCUACGUGUCAGCCGCCGCCGUAACAC